UGGGGAAUUUUGGACAAUGGGCGAAAGCCUGAUCCAGCAAUGCCGCGUGUGUGAAGAAGGCCUUCGGGUUGUAAAGCACUUUUGUCCGGAAAGUAAAUCCUUGGGCUCUAAUACAGUCGGGGGAUGACGGUACCGGAAGAAUAAGCACCGGCUAACUACGUGCCAGCAGCCGCGGUAAUACGUAGGGUGCAAGCGUUAAUCGGAAUUACUGGGCGUAAAGCGUGCGCAGGCGGUUUGCUAAGACCGAUGUGAAAUCCCCGGGCUAACCUGGGAACUGCAUUGGUGACUGGCAGGCUAGAGUAUGGCAGAGGGGGGUAGAAUUCCACGUGUAGCAGUGAAAUGCGUAGAGAUGUGGAGGAAUACCGAUGGCGAAGGCAGCCCCCUGGGCCAAUACUGACGCUCAUGCACGAAAGCGU
rnacentral:rRNA from 1 species